rnacentral:rRNA from 1 species
GUAGGUGGCAAGCGUUGUCCGGAACUAUUGGGCGUAAAGCGCGCGCAGGCGGUUCUUUAAGUCUGAUGUGAAAGCCCACGGCUCAACCGUGGAGGGUCAUUGGAAACUGGAGAACUUGAGUACAGAAGAGGAAAGCGGAAUUCCACGUGUAGCGGUGAAAUGCGUAGAGAUGUGGAGGAACACCAGUGGCGAAGGCGGCUUUCUGGUCUGUAACUGACGCUGAGGCGCGAAAGCGUGGGGAGCAAACAGGGAUUAGAUACCCUGGUAGUCCACGCCGUAAACGAUGAGUGCUAAGUGUUAGGGGGUUUCCGCCCCCUUAGUGCUGCAGCUAACGCAUUAAGCACUCCGCCUGGGGAUACGGCCGCAAGGCUG